rnacentral:rRNA from 1 species
UAACCUGCUAAAUAGGUGCGCCAACUCUGGUUGGUGGCAACUUCUUAGAGGGACUAUGGAUGUUUAAUCCAUGGAAGUUUGAGGCAAUAACAGGUCUGUGAUGCCCUUAGAUGUUCUGGGCUGCACGCGCGCUACACUGAUGAAGUCAGCGAGUUUUUCCACCUUGGCCGAGAGGUCUGGGUAAUCUUGUGAAACUUCAUCGUGCUGGGGAUAGAUCCUUGCAAUUAUUGAACUUCAACGAGGAAUUCCUAGUAAGCGCAUAUCAUCAGUAUGCGCUGAUUACGUCCCUGCCCUUUGUACACACCGCCCGUCGCU